rnacentral:rRNA from 1 species
ACCGGCGGCUCGAGUGGUGGCCACUAUUACUGGGCUUAAAGCGUUCGUAGCUGGCUUGUUAAGUCUCUGGGGAAAUCUUCCGGCUCAACCGGAAGGCGUCUCAGGGAUACUGGCAGGCUAGGGACCGGAAGAGGGGAGAGGUAAUCCAGGGUUAGGAUUAAAACCCGGUAAUCCUGGGGGAACCACCUGGGCGGAAGGCGUCCCCCCAGGAGGCUCCCGCCGGUGAGGAACGAAAGCUGGGGAGCAAACCG